rfam:Gossypium arboreum cultivar AKA8401 contig_16899_1, whole genome shotgun sequence.
GUGUUACAAUGAGGACACUUACGAAGUAGCUCCUUGAAUCUUUCCCACCCCUUGUAUAAGGAUUCGUCAUCCAAUUGUGAAAACGUGGUUAUCCCAUUUCACAACUU